rnacentral:misc_RNA from 1 species
AACAAGGCGUACCUGCGGACCUGCGGAGGGAUCAUUACAAGUGACCCCGGUCUAACCACCGGGAUGUUCAUAACCCUUUGUUGUCCGACUCUGUUGCCUCCGGGGCGACCCUGCCUUCGGGCGGGGGCUCCGGGUGGACACUUCAAACUCUUGCGUAACCUUGCAGUCUGAGUAAACUUAAUUAAUAAAUUAAAACUUUCAACAACGGAUCU